rnacentral:rRNA from 1 species
AUUGAACGCUGGCGGCAGGCCUAACACAUGCAAGUCGAACGGUAACAGGAAGAAGCUUGCUUCUUUGCUGACGAGUGUCGGACGGGUGAGUAAUGUCUGGGAAACUGCCUGAUGGAGGGGGAUAACUACUGGAAACGGUAGCUAAUACCGCAUAACGUCGCAAGACCAAAGAGGGGGACCUUCGGGCCUCUUGCCAUCGGAUGUGCCCAGAUGGGAUUAGCUAGUAGGUGGGGUAACGGCUCACCUAGGCGACGAUCCCUAGCUGGUCUGAGAGGAUGACCAGCCACACUGGAACUGAGACACGGUCCAGACUCCUACGGGAGGCAGCAGUGGGGAAUAUUGCACAAUGGGCGCAAGCCUGAUGCAGCCAUGCCGCGUGUAUGAAGAAGGCCUUCGGGUUGUAAAGUACUUUCAGCGGGGAGGAAGGGAGUAAAGUUAAUACCUUUGCUCAUUGACGUUACCCGCAGAAGAAGCACCGGCUAACUCCGUG